UGAGUUACAAAUUCAACCCCUCAUGAGGCC
rnacentral:piRNA from 1 species